UACGGAGGGGGCAAGCGUUAUCCGGAAUCAUUGGGUUUAAAGGGUCCGCAGGCGGUCUUAUAAGUCAGUGGUGAAAUCUCUCAGCUUAACUGAGAAACUGCCAUUGAUACUGUAGGACUUGAAUUUGGUCGAAGUGGGCGGAAUAUGACAUGUAGCGGUGAAAUGCAUAGAUAUGUCAUAGAACACCGAUAGCGAAGGCAGCUCACUAGGCCAACAUUGACGCUCAUGGACGAAAGCGUGGGGAGCAAACAGG
rnacentral:rRNA from 1 species